rnacentral:lncRNA from 10 species
CUCUGGUCAAUGAGACCUAAGAGGAAGUCUACUGGAAGACAUCUGGGAAAGAUUUACCAUCCUGAAAAAAGACAGGAUCAUGACAUCUUGCAGAAAAGAGGAAGAGAGAAUUUCUAGGACAAAUGGCUUGUUUUUUACAUUAGAGAUGAACCAAAAGUUGCACACUUCACCUCUGCUCACAUCCCAUCCUUCUUAAUCAUAUAGCCACAACUUGCUUCAAGUGAGACUGAAAAUACAGUCCCUAAUGGGGGAAGAGGUGAUGACCAUGUGUACAGCCUAAGUUUUUUUUAAGAAAAAAAAAAAAAAGGGCCGGGUGUGGUAGCUCACACCUGUAAUCCCAGCACUUUGGGAGGCCGAGGCGGGCAGAUCACAAGGACAGGAGAUCGAGAUCAUCUUGGCUAACAUGGUGAAACCCUGCCUCUACUAAAAAUACACAAAAUUAGCUGGGCAUGGUGGCACGUGCCUGUAGUCCCAGCUACUCAGGAGGCUGAGGUAGGAGAAUAGCUUAAACUUGGGAGGAGGAGGUUGCAGUGAGGCAAGAUCGCACCACCGCACUCCAGCCUGGGUGACAGAAUGAGAUUCUGCCUCAAAAAAAAAAAAAGAAAAAAAUUAAAAAAGAAAAAAAGAGAAACAAAUUGGUUGGAGGCCUAUAAGUUUAUGCUACAAGGACUAAAGAUAGAACCAGAGGGAGCCUUGGACACCAUUGCAAUAACAUCCUAGUACAUGACAGUGUCUUGGACCAUAGUGGUAGGAAAGGAGAUGAGGAGAAGUG